rnacentral:tRNA from 1 species
GCCGGGGUGCCCGAGCGGACCAAGGGGUCGGACUUGAGAUCCGAUGCCUUUACAGGCGCGUGGGUUCGAAUCCCACCCCCGGCG